GAUGAAGAACGUAGCGAAAUGCGAUACGUAAUGUGAAUUGCAGAAUUCAGUGAAUCAUCGAAUCUUUGAACGCACAUUGCGCCCGUCAGUAUUCUGGCGGGCAUGCCUGUUCGAGCGUCAUUACGCCCCUCAAGUCCCCUGUGGACUUGGUGUUGGGGAUCGGCGAGGCUGGUUUUCCAGCACAGCCGUCCCUUAAAUUAAUUGGCGGUCUCGCCGUGGCCCUCCUCUGCGCAGUAGUAAAACACUCGCAACAGGAGCCCGGCGCGGUCCACUGCCGUAAAACCCCCCAACUUUUUAUAGUUGACCUCGAAUCAGGUAGGACUACCCGCUGAACUUAAGCAUAUCAAUAAGCGGAGGA
rnacentral:misc_RNA from 1 species